rnacentral:rRNA from 1 species
CCUACGGUAGGCAGCAGUGGGGAAUAUUGCGCAAUGGGCGACAGCCUGACGCAGCGACGCCGCGUGAGGGAUGAAGGUCUUCGUAUCGUACACCUCUGUCAGCAGGGAAGAACGGUCACUGUGCUAAUCAGCAGUGAAUUGACGGUACCUGCAAAGGACGCACCGGCUAACUCCGUGCCCUCAGCCGCGGUAAUACGGAGGGUGCGAGCGUGAAUCGGAAUUACUGGGCGUAAAGCGCUCGUAGGCGGUAUGUCAAGUCAAGGGUGAAAUCCCCGCGCUCAACGUGGGAACUGCCUUUGAAACGGGCAAACUGGAGUGUGUGAGAGGAUAGUGGAAUUCCAGGUGUAGGAGUGAACUCCGUAGAUAUCUGGAGGAACAUCAGUGGCGAAGGCGACUAUCUGGCACAUAACUGACGCUGAGGAGCGAAAGCGUGGGUAGCAAACAGGAUUAGAUACCCGGGUAGUC